GACGAACGCUGGCGGCGUGCUUAACACAUGCAAGUCGAACGGUGAUGCUCCAGCUUGCUGGCGUGGAUCAGUGGCGAACGGGUGAGUAACACGUGAGCAACCUGCCCCAGACUCUGGAAUAAGCGCUGGAAACGGCGUCUAAUACUGGAUACGAAACUGGCCCGCAUGGGCAUGGUUUGGAAAGUUUUUCGGUUUGGGAUGGGCUCGCGGCCUAUCAGCUUGUUGGUGAGGUAAUGGCUCACCAAGGCGACGACGGGUAGCCGGCCUGAGAGGGCGAGCGGCCACACUGGGACUGAGACACGGCCCAGACUCCUACGGGAGGCAGCAGUGGGGAAUAUUGCACAAUGGGCGAAAGCCUGAUGCAGCGACGCCGCGUGAGGGAUGACGGCCUUCGGGUUGUAAACCUCUUUCAGCAGGGAAGAAGCGAAAGUGACGGUACCUGCAGAAGAAGCACCGGCUAACUACGUG
rnacentral:rRNA from 1 species